rnacentral:rRNA from 1 species
UUAAGUAAUUAAGCGUACAUGGUGGAUGCCUUGGCAAUCAGAGACGAUGAAGGACGUGCUAAUCUGCGAAAAGCGUCGGUUAGGUGAUAAGAACCGUUAUAAACCGGCGAUUUCCGAAUGGGGAAACCCGAUGUACCUAAAGUGCAUCAUCUCAACAUAAAUACAUAGUGUUGAGAAGUCAACCAGGGGAACUGAAACAUCUAAGUACCCUGAGGAAAAGAAAUCAACUGAGAUUCCCUUAGUAGUGGCGAGCGAACAGGGAUUAGCCCAGAACCUAAAUCAGUGACUGUAUUAGCAGAAUUGUCUGGAAAGGCAAGCAAUAUAGGGUGAUAGCCCCGUAUGUGAAAAUGCAUUCACUGUGAGUUCGAUGAGUAGGACGGGACACGUGAUAUCCUGUUUGAAUAUGGGGGGACCAUCCUCCAAGGCUAAAUACUUCUGAUUGACCGAUAGUGAACUAGUACCGUGAGGGAAAGGUGAAAAGAACCCCAGUGAGGGGAGUGAAAUAGAACCUGAAACCAUGUACGUACAAGCAGUGGGAGCACAUUAUAUUAGUGUGUGACUGCGUACCUUUUGUAUAAUGGGUCAGCGACUUAUAUUCUGUAGCAAGGUUAACCGUAUAGGGGAGCCGUAGGGAAACCGAGUCUUAACUGGGCGUUGAGUUGCAGGGUAUAGACCCGAAACCCGGUGAUCUAGCCAUGGGCAGGUUGAAGGUUGGGUAACACUAACUGGAGGACCGAACCGACUAAUGUUGAAAAAUUAGCGGAUGACCUGUGGCUAGGGGUGAAAGGCCAAUCAAACCGGGAGAUAGCUGGUUCUCCCCGAAAGCUAUUUAGGUAGCGCCUCGUGAAUUCAUCUUUGGGGGUAGAGCACUGUUUUGGUUAGGGGGUUAUCUCAACUUACCAAGCCAAUGCAAACUACGAAUACCAAAGAAUGGUACCACGGGAGACACACGGCGGGUGCUAACGUCCGUCGUGAAAAGGGAAACAACCCAGACCGCCAGCUAAGGUCCCAAAAUCAUGAUUAAGUGGGAAACGAUGUGGGAAGGCAUAGACAGCCAGGAUGUUGGCUUAGAAGCAGCCAUCAUUUAAAGAAAGCGUAAUAGCUCACUGGUCGAGUCGGCCUGCGCGGAAGAUGUAACGGGGCUAAAUCGUGUACCGAAGCUGCGGCAAUAGUACACCAUGUGUAUUGUUGGGUAGGGGAGCGUUCUGUAAGCUGUUGAAGGUGGACUGUGAAGUCUGCUGGAGGUAUCAGAAGUGCGAAUGCUGACAUGAGUAACGAUAAAGUGGGUGAAAAACCCACUCGCCGGAAGACUAAGGGUUCCUGUCCUACGUUAAUCGGGGCAGGGUGAGUCGACCCCUAAGGUGAGGCUGAAAAGCGUAGUCGAUGGGAAACAGGUUAAUAUUCCUGUACUUGAUGUUAUUGCGAAGGGGGGACGGAGAAGGCUAGAUUAUCUGGGCGACGGUUGUCCCAGUUCAAGCGUGUAGGCUGACUUUUUAGGCAAAUCCGGAAAGUUAAAGCUGAGGCGUGAUGACGAGUCACUAAGGUGAUGAAGUAAUUUAUGCCAUGCUUCCAAGAAAAGCCUCUAAGCUUCAGAUAAUAUGAAAUCGUACCCUAAACCGACACAGGUGGUCAGGUAGAGAAUACCAAGGCGCUUGAGAGAACUCGGGUGAAGGAACUAGGCAAAAUGGUGCCGUAACUUCGGGAAAAGGCACACUGGUAUUAGGUCAAGGGAUGUACUCCUAAGGUCGAAACCAGUCGAAGAUACUAGCUGGCUGCAACUGUUUAUUAAAAACACAGCACUGUGCAAACACGAAAGUGGACGUAUACGGUGUGACGCCUGCCCGGUGCCGGAAGGUUAAUUGAUGGGGUAAACCGUAAGGGGAAGCUCUGGAUUGAAGCCCCGGUAAACGGCGGCCGUAACUAUAACGGUCCUAAGGUAGCGAAAUUCCUUGUCGGGUAAGUUCCGACCUGCACGAAUGGCGUAAUGAUGGCCAGACUGUCUCCACCCGAGACUCAGUGAAAUUGAAAUUGCUGUGAAGAUGCAGUGUACCCGCGGCAAGACGGAAAGACCCCGUGAACCUUUACUAUAGCUUGAUACUGAAUAUUGAGUCUUAAUGUGUAGGAUAGGUGGGAGGCUUUGAAACAUAGACGCCAGUUUAUGUGGAGCCGACCUUGAAAUACCACCCUUUAAUGCUUGAUGUUCUAAUGUAGACCCGUAAUCCGGGUUGCAGACAGUGUCUGGUGGGUAGUUUGACUGGGGCGGUCUCCUCCUAAAGAGUAACGGAGGAGCACAAAGGUUGGCUAAUCCUGGUCGGACAUCAGGAGGUUAGUGCAAUGGCAUAAGCCAGCUUAACUGCGAGAGCGACGGUUCGAGCAGAUGCGAAAGCAGGUCAUAGUGAUCCGGUGGUUCUGAAUGGAAGGGCCAUCGCUCAACGGAUAAAAGGUACUCCGGGGAUAACAGGCUGAUACCGCCCAAGAGUUCAUAUCGACGGCGGUGUUUGGCACCUCGAUGUCGGCUCAUCACAUCCUGGGGCUGAAGCAGGUCCCAAGGGUACGGCUGUUCGCCGUUUAAAGUGGUACGCGAGCUGGGUUUAGAACGUCGUGAGACAGUUCGGUCCCUAUCUGCCGUGGGCGUUGGAGAAUUGAGGGGGGUUGCUUCUAGUACGAGAGGACCGAAGUGAACGCACCGCUGGUGUUCGGGUUGUCAUGCCAAUGGCAUUGCCCGGUAGCUAUGUGCGGAAAAGAUAAGUGCUGAAAGCAUCUAAGCGCGAAACUUGCCCCAAGAUGAGUUCUCCCUGAGGUUUUAAACCUUCUGAAGGGAUGUUGAAGACGACGACGUUGAUAGGCUGGGUGUGUAAGUACAGUGAUGUAUUGAGCUAACCAGUACUAAUAUCCCGUGAGACUUAACCUUACAACACCAGAGGUUUUUAGUGAUAGCAGAGAAAUUUUGCUUAUUCAUAU